rnacentral:rRNA from 1 species
CCUUUCGGGGGUACUCGAGUGGCGAACGGGUGAGUAACACGUGGGUGAUCUGCCCUGCACUUUGGGAUAAGCCUGGGAAACUGGGUCUAAUACCGAAUACACCCUGCUGGUCGCAUGGCCUGGUGGGGGAAAGCUUUUGCGGUGUGGGAUGGGCCCGCGGCCUAUCAGCUUGUUGGUGGGGUGAUGGCCUACCAAGGCGACGACGGGUAGCCGGCCUGAGAGGGUGUCCGGCCACACUGGGACUGAGAUACGGCCCAGACUCCUACGGGAGGCAGCAGUGGGGAAUAUUGCACAAUGGGCGCAAGCCUGAUGCAGCGACGCCGCGUGAGGGAUGACGGCCUUCGGGUUGUAAACCUCUUUCAGCAGGGACGAAGCGCAAGUGACGGUACCUGCAGAAGAAGCACCGGCCAACUACGUGCCAGCAGCCGCGGUAAUACGUAGGGUGCGAGCGUUGUCCGGAAUUACUGGGCGUAAAGAGCUCGUAGGUGGUUUGUCGCGUUGUUCGUGAAAACUCACAGCUCAACUGUGGGCGUGCGGGCGAUACGGGCAGACUGGAGUACUGCAGGGGAGACUGGAAUUCCUGGUGUAGCGGUGGAAUGCGCAGAUAUCAGGAGGAACACCGGUGGCGAAGGCGGGUCUCUGGGCAGUAACUGACGCUGAGGAGCGAAAGCGUGGGGAGCGAACAGGAUUAGAUACCCUGGUAGUCCACGCCGUAAACGGUGGGUACUAGGUGUGGGUUUCCUUCCUUGGGAUCCGUGCCGUAGCUAACGCAUUAAGUACCCCGCCUGGGGAGUACGGCCGCAAGGCUAAAACUCAAAGAAAUUGACGGGGGCCCGCACAAGCGGCGGAGCAUGUGGAUUAAUUCGAUGCAACGCGAAGAACCUUACCUGGGUUUGACAUGC